UGAACGCUGGCGGCGUGCCUACUACAUGCACGUCGAGCGACCAGAUACGGAGCUUGCUCCUUUGACGUUAGCGGCGGACGGGUGAGUAACACGUGGGUAACCUACCUAUAAGACUGGGAUAACUUCGGGAAACCGGAGCUAAUACCGGAUAAUAUUUCGAACCGCAUGGUUCGAUAGUGAAAGAUGGUUUUGCUAUCACUUAUAGAUGGACCCGCGCCGUAUUAGCUAGUUGGUAAGGUAACGGCUUACCAAGGCGACGAUACGUAGCCGACCUGAGAGGGUGAUCGGCCACACUGGAACUGAGACACGGUCCAGACUCCUACGGGAGGCAGCAGUAGGGAAUCUUCCGCAAUGGGCGAAAGCCUGACGGAGCAACGCCGCGUGAGUGAUGAAGGUCUUCGGAUCGUAAAACUCUGUUAUUAGGGAAGAACAUACGUGUAAGUAACUGUGCACGUCUUGACGGUACCUAAUCAGAAAGCCACGGCUAACUACGUG
rnacentral:rRNA from 1 species